UUUUUUUGCGCCUGCUCAUAAAUCUGAGAAACGUGAGUUUGUCAUCAUUUUUUAUCUAGACAUAGGAUAGGUUGUGUGAAAAUAUUACUGAUGUUUAACGUUAAAAAAUGGACCAAAAGAUUAAUGCUAAACAACAUUUGACAUGUUUGAACGAACAUAAAUAGAUUAUUUACUAGGUUUUUUUAGCUUUUCGGCGUGAUUUUACCAGCCCCCCACCACGUUUUGUGGGAGCAUAAUGAACGCUAAGUACUUGGUGUUAUUUGGACAUAAAUUAUGAACUUUGUCAAAAGAAACCACAUUUGUUCCGGACCUGGAAUGCCUUCCGGACCUGGGAUCCUGCCUUCUGAUGGAGAUAAUCAAAGUGUUUCUUGGAUUUUCUGCCUGCUAAUUGGAGGGAUAACUUGUUUUACACUUAAAGGUAAUUCUAAUGGGCAUCAUGCCUACUCUGGACCUGAACCAACUGGAUCCUAUGCCAAAGCAAGUGUGGUGCCUAGUCCAAAUGCUAAAGCUACUGGCCACAAUGCCACGUCAGCAGAAGCUACUGGCCACAAUGCCACGUCAGCAGAAGCUAUUGGCC
rnacentral:lncRNA from 1 species